GACGAACCGUGCGAACGUUGUUCGGAUUCACUGGGCUUAAAGGGCGCGUAGGCGGCCCGCCAAGUCAGGGGUGAAAGCCCCCAGCUUAACUGGGGAAGGGCCUCUGAUACUGGCGGGCUCGAGGGGGAUAGGGGCGGACGGAACUUCCGGUGGAGCGGUGAAAUGCGUUGAUAUCGGAAGGAACGCCGGUGGCGAAAGCGGUCCGCUGGGUCCCCUCUGACGCUGAGGCGCGAAAGCCAGGGGAGCAAACGGG
rnacentral:rRNA from 1 species